UACGGGGGGAGCAAGCGUUGUUCGGAUUUACUGGGCGUAAAGGGCGCGUAGGCGGCCACCGCAAGUCAAUUGUGAAAUCUCCGGGCUUAACUCGGAAAGGUCAACUGAUACUGCGGGGCUAGAGUGCGGAAGGGGCAACUGGAAUUCUCGGUGUAGUGGUGAAAUGCGUAGAUAUCGGGAGGAACACCAGUGGCGAAGGCGACUACCUGGCCUGUUCUUGACGCUGAGGCGCGAAAGCUAGGGGAGCAAACGAG
rnacentral:rRNA from 1 species